UCACCGAUGUUGUGGAGCUGGACGAGGUUUCCACGCAGUUCAUCGACCGCCUGUUCUUCCUGGAGAAGGUCUAGAGAUGAUUUACUCUGCCAGGCGGCAGCACUCGAAGCACACAGGAUCCUGAACCUCAACAACAACCCCUACUUUUCUGGGCCCUAAUUUAUUCAAAGAACACUACAUGUCACAUGAAUUCAAAAUUACUUCUCUGGAGGACCAGGAGUCCAGGACCCUGAUACUCGUAGUACUGUUCCAUGGCACUGACAGGUACGUCAUAUAUUUGAUGAUGCAGCCCCUACCUUUUUGUAAUUUUUAUUUAUGAGGCAUCUCCUAUCUUUGGCUUGGGGUUAUUUUGGCAGGCCUAUUGUUUGCUGCUUGUGAUGAUUGACAGAGGUUUUGGGUCUAUGUUUAAGCCUCGGUGAGGUUUUGGGUCUCUGUUUAAUCCUUGGUUCAUGAGGAUCCAAAUAUAGGUGGUUCAUAUGUUAAUUGGUUAUGAUUUCCAUGUGUUGAUUGGUGGCCUUCGACGGAUUCGU